AGAGUUUGAUCAUGGCUCAGGAUGAACGCUAGCGGCAGGCUUAACACAUGCAAGUCGAGGGGUAUAGUAGCAAUACUAGAGACCGGCGCACGGGUGCGUAACGCGUAUGCAAUCUACCUUUUACAGAGGGAUAGCCCAGAGAAAUUUGGAUUAAUACCUCAUAGUAUAGUACAACCGCAUGGUUGAACUAUUAAAGUCACAACGGUAAAAGAUGAGCAUGCGUCCCAUUAGCUAGUUGGUAAGGUAACGGCUUACCAAGGCAACGAUGGGUAGGGGUCCUGAGAGGGAGAUCCCCCACACUGGUACUGGGACACGGACCAGACUCCUACGGGAGGCAGCAGUGAGGAAUAUUGGUCAAUGGGCGCAAGCCUGAACCAGCCAUGCCGCGUGCAGGAUGACGGUCCUAUGGAUUGUAAACUGCUUUUGUACGGGAAGAAACAGCGAUUCGUGAAUCGCCUUGACGGUACCGUAAGAAUAAGGAUCGGCUAACUCCGUGCCAGCAGCCGCGGUAAUACGGAGGAUCCAAGCGUUAUCCGGAAUCAUUGGGUUUAAAGGGUCCGUAGGCGGUUUGGUAAGUCAGUGGUGAAAGCCCAUCGCUCAACGGUGGAACGGCCAUUGAUACUGCUAGACUUGAAUUAUUAGGAAGUAACUAGAAUAUGUAGUGUAGCGGAAAUGCUUAGAGAUUACAUGGAAUACCAAUUGCGAAGGCAGGUUACUACUAAUGGAUUGACGCUGAUGGACGAAAGCGUGGGUAGCGAACAGGAUUAGAUACCCUAGUAGUCC
rnacentral:rRNA from 1 species